rnacentral:lncRNA from 1 species
GCAUAGCCACCACAUUUCCUUCACUUCUUUCCUCAUCAAAGUCCAAGUUCAGUGGCGCCGCCGUAUCGUUGCCUAGUGCUGUUGGUACCAAUGUUGGCCACCGUGUUAGCAUGUCAGCUGAUUGGAUGCCUGGUCAACCUAGACCACCUUACCUUGAUGGCUCAGCACCAGGGUAAGGUUUCAAAGUAGCUAAAAAAAUUAACAACAAAUGUAUUUAUAGCCAUUUUUCUUACAUCUAAAGCUUUUUUUUUUCAGUGACUUUGGGUUUGACCCACUAAGACUUGGUGAGGUCCCUGAGAACCUUGAGAGGUACAAAGAAUCUGAGUUGAUUCACUGCAGAUGGGCUAUGCUUGCUGUUGUAAGUGUUCCAUCUUUGUUAAUUUAAUUAGCAGACAAAUUGUAUAGAAGGUUCAUGUGCUAUGCAUCUUUUACAAAUUUAAUCUCAUUUAAUUAUUCAAUUCCUAGUUCAAAUUUGGGUUAAUUUUUGCAGCCAGGUAUAUUGGUACCAGAGGCCUUAGGGUUGGGAAACUGGGUAAAAGCUCAAGAAUGGGCAGCAAUUCCAGGUGGCCAAGCCACUUACUUAGGGAACCCAGUCCCAUGGGGUACCCUCCCCACCAUCUUGGUCAUUGAAUUCCUAUCCAUCGCCUUCGUUGAGCACCAACGAAGCAUGGAGAAGGACACCGAGAAGAAGAAGUACCCCGGCGGCGCUUUCGACCCCUUGGGAUUCUCCAAGGACCCCAAAAAGUUCGAAGAAUACAAGGUCA